rnacentral:rRNA from 1 species
AACGAGCGCUGGCGGCAUGCCUAACACAUGCAAGUCGAACGAGACCUUCGGGUCUAGUGGCGCACGGGUGCGUAACGCGUGGGAACCUGCCCUUAGGUUCGGAAUAACUCCCCGAAAGGGGUGCUAAUACCGGAUAAUGUCUUCGGACCAAAGAUUUAUCGCCUUUGGAUGGGCCCGCGUUGGAUUAGCUAGUUGGUAGGGUAAAAGCCUACCAAGGCGACGAUCCAUAGCUGGUCUGAGAGGAUGAUCAGCCACACUGGGACUGAGACACGGCCCAGACUCCUACGGGAGGCAGCAGUGGGGAAUAUUGGACAAUGGGCGAAGGCCUGAUCCAGCAAUGCCGCGUGAGUGAUGAAGGCCUUAGGGUUGUAAAGCUCUUUUACCCGGGAUGAUAAUGACAGUACCGGGAGAAUAAGCUCCGGCUAACUCCGUG